GACAGAGGGUGCAACCGUUGUUCGGAUUUACUGGGCGUAAAGCGCGUGUAGGCGGCUUCGUAAGUUGGAUGUGAAAUCCCACGGCUCAACCGUGGACGUGCAUCCAAAACUACGUCGCUGGAGUCUCGGAGAGGAAGGUGGAAUGCUUGGUGUAGAGGUGAAAUUCGUAGAUAUCAAGCAGAACACCUGCGGCGAAGGCGGCCUUCUGGACGAUGACUGACGCUGAGACGCGAAAGCGUGGGGAGCAAACAGG
rnacentral:rRNA from 1 species